UGAGGUCAUCGCUCGCUGUCGUCAGUGCUAGGAACCUGCGCCCGGCUGAGCUGAGCGAGGCGAGAGGAGAAAGCGAGGCCCGGGGACGGGACUGAGAGCUCUGAAAGGAGGGAGGCGGCUCCCGAGUACUCCGCGCCAGGCAGGCCCCGACUUCGCCUCUUCGCCCAUUUUUAAGGCUCGAGUUAGAGGCCACCUCCUCCGAGAAGCCUUCGGUGACACCACCUCUCCCAGACGGUUCCCCUUUCUGAUUCCCACAGCAUUUUCCAACCAUUCACGCCGUCUUCCUUCCUCAUUGUGGAUUGGACCUUCUCGAGAAAGAAUCUGGCCUCAGUCUCCCUCUUCCACACUCAGGGACCGCCACCAUCACCGGCACUCGUCCUGGUUGCUCAUCUCGCCCACUUGCACAGCCCACCUGUGUGGCCGACUCAGGAUUGACCCACCUGCUCUCUUCAGGCCAUAUUCCCACGCAGAAGUGGGUCCCACUCCUCAGGCCUCUGUGCUGGCCCUGUCUGUGGGGUUAGCAUGCAGCCCUGCUCUCCAUUUCCAGCUCAGAAGCAACUGGAUCGUUACCUCAUUGGUGACAACUUGACUGUGCUGCCCAGAGCUGAUAAGAAACAUCACCCGGGGAAGACCAGCUGCCUCUUCCUUGCUUCCUAAUCAGGGUGGAAAUACUGCUAAAUAUAUCACAACUCUUUGCAAGCAUCGUUGGGUAAUGAUCGGGACAUCUUUGUGGGUUCCCUAUCAUUUUCUCACAAAGUUGAACCUUUCAAGGUCAGUUCUAGGCCAGCCAGUCUGGGAGUCAUUCUUUAGAAUCAGAAGAGAAUUUAAGAAGAGGAGAAGAUAAGAUUGUCUCUAAAACCUGCUAAUGAGAACUACAGGAAGGUGGGGAUGCUAGCUAUUUUUAAUAUUUCUCGUUUGAACCCCUUCCUCCACCCCAGAAUGAACUGAGAGUAGGGACAGAAAUAGAUAAUGCAAAGAUGGUUAGGGUUGAGGGUAAGCAGAAAACUACCCAUCUAGACCGAAGGAAGGCUUGCUAACAUAUCAGUAAGCAAACAGCUUUCUAAUCUGCAGGUAACAAGUUUUACAUCCCUGAGGACACUUUUUGAGAUGGGACUUUGUUUGUUUGUUUGUUUAUUUGUUGUUUUUUGUUUUUUUGAGACAGAGUCUCGCUCUGUCUCCCAGGCUGGAGUGCAGUGGCAUGGUCUCGGCUCACUGCAACCUUCACCUCCCGGGAUCAAACGAUUCUCCUGCCUCAGCCUCCUGAAUAGCUGGGAUUACAGGUGCAUGCCACCAUGCCCAGCUAUUUGUGUGUGUGUGUGUGUGUGUGUAUUUUUAGUAGAGAUGGGGUUUUAUCAUGUUGGUCAGGCUGAUCUCAAACUCCUGACCUCGUGAUCUGCCCUCCUCAGCCUCCCAAAGUGCUGGGAUUACAGGCGUGAGCCACCAGGCCCAGCCUGGGGCUUUUUGAGACACUAUUGAAGGCUGAGGAAGAAUCUGGAAGCUAAAGAGUAACCCAUUCCACCACCUGCUCUGAAGAUAGAAGAAGCAAAAAAAAGAUUAAAUUGUACAAAAAGCACUUAAAUUAGACAACAGAAGAAUUUCCUGAUACAAAGUGGGUGUCUAAGAUGCGUUAAACAAGAUGCCUGCUCCAGCCAGGACUCAGACACUCCUGGGUGGAGAGCAUCUUCAUAGUUUGGGAUAAAAGUGACUAUACAGAGUGGUGGAGUGAAGGCUGCAGGCCCCUCCCCAAGGUGGCAUCUAACCCCGGAGGUAUCAGGACCUCAGAGGCUACCCACAUGAUUUCCAGCUGAUGAGCAGAAAUAGCUGUGGCAGGUGCAGGCUUCACUUGCUGCCACCAACAUGGGAGCUCACCAAACACCCAGUGGCCAAAAGAACCAGGGUCUCUCUAAGCCCUGGGCUCACCGCCAGGCAAGCUUGGGUGCUUGGGAGGGCCAUGGUUCUUCACAGGGCAGCUCUGGAUUUCUUCUCAAUUUACUCAACUCUCUCUCUUGAAUCCCAUCUGUGCAGCUUAGAAGUCACAAAUUAGAACCCCCCAAGGCAAAGCUGACCAUAGAUACAAAUGGUUUUGUCUGUAUAGUGUUUAAGCACUUAAAAAAUUCAUUGUGAACAUUUAAUAAUUAGUGUCAAAAUGAAAAUAUCUAUAGUUUGUCUGUAAAAACCAGAAGAUCUGUUAACACUGAUCCCACACUUCUAUUUGGCAAUGACUGGCCCCUAAGACAGGGGGUAUGUCCUCUAGCUCACCACAGUCUCCACCUUUACCUACUGCAUCCCUGCUGAGACAAAGUGGUACUUGCCAUUUAUUAAGGAUGAAUGCUGCUUUUUUUGUAAAUUAUACUUAAUCCUCAUUUGCAUUACCUGCCUUCAUUCUGGAGGUAUUUGAGUUUGCAUCUCCUGAUAAAGAAUAAAUCUCAAAAUUGUCAUCUCUAACUUC